rnacentral:tRNA from 1 species
GCUGGAGUGGCGCAAUUGGUAGCGCACCCGACUUGUAAUCGGGCGGUUGCGAGUUCAAGUCUCGUCUCCAGCUCCG